GGCUUCGUGGCCGUGUGGUUAGUGUCAUCAGGCAAUGAGCGCAUCGUGUCAUGAGGUGUGGGUUCGAUUCCCGCUGCAGCCA
rnacentral:tRNA from 1 species